UACGUAGGGUGCGAGCGUUAAUCGGAAUUACUGGGCGUAAAGCGUGCGCAGGCGGUUCGCCAAGUCAGGUGUGAAAUCCCCGGGCUUAACCUGGGAAUUGCGCUUGAAACUAGCGGGCUUGAGUGUGGCAGAGGGGGGUGGAAUUCCACGUGUAGCAGUGAAAUGCGUAGAGAUGUGGAGGAACACCGAUGGCGAAGGCAGCCCCCUGGGUCAACACUGACGCUCGUGCACGAAAGCGUGGGGAGCAAACAGG
rnacentral:rRNA from 1 species